rnacentral:rRNA from 1 species
UCCAGUUGAUCCUGCUGGAGGGUACCGCUAUCAGACUUCGACUAAGCCAUGCAAGUCGACUCACGGGCUUCCGUGAGUGGCAUAGGGCUGAGUAACACGUGGUCAAUCUGCCCUAAGGACGUGGAUAACCUCGGGAAACUGAGGGUAACCCGCAAUAGGCAAUCUAUGCUGGAAUGCUUGAUUACCCAAACGGCUGGUAAAUUGUAGCCAGUCCGCCUUAGGAUGAGACUGCGGUGGAUUAUGGUUGUUGGUGGGGUAAUGGCCUACCAAGCCGAUAAUCCGUAGGGGCCAUGGGAGUGGUGGCCCCCAGAAGGGCACUGAGACAAGGGCCCUAGUCCUACGGGAUGCAGCAGGCGCGAAACCUCUACAAUGCGCGAAAGCGUGAUAGGGGAAGUCUGAGUGGCAACAGUUUACUGUUGUCUUUUGCCGAGUAUAAAUUGCUCGGAGAAUAAGGGUGUGGGCAAGACUGGUGGCAGCCGCCGCGGUAACACCAGCGCCCCGAGUAGUACCCACGAAUAUUGGGCCUAAAGCGUCCGUAGCCGGUCAAGUAAGUCUUCUGUGAAAUGUUGGGGCUCAACCCUAACGCGUGCAGGGGAUACUGCUAGACUAGGGAACGGGGGAGGACAGAAGUACACCUGGGGUAGGGGUAAAAUCCGUUGAGCCUAGGUGGACUACCAGUGGCGAAGGCGUCUGUCUAAAACGUAUCCGACGGUGAGGGACGAAAGCUGGGGGAGCGAACGGGAUUAGAUACCCCGGUAGUCCCAGCUGUAAAUUAUGCAGACUUUGGUGUUUCGCAUGAGUAAUCAUGCGAAGUGCUGUAGCGUAGGUGUUAAGUCUGCCGCCUGGGGAGUACGAUCGCAAGAUUUAAACUUAAAGGAAUUGGCGGGGGAGCACCACAAGCCGUGGAUGCUACGGUUUAAUUGGAUACAACGCCGGGAAUAUCACCAUGGACGACGGCAAGAUGAAGGUCAGAUUAAAGGUCUUGCCUGAUGAGCCGAGAGGUAUUGCAUGGCCAUCGUCAGCUCGUGGCGUGAACUGUCCGGUUAAGUCCGGCAACGAGCGAGACCCAUACCUUUAGUUGCUAAUUUCAUCUCCGGAUGAGAUGCACUCUAAAGGGACUGCCCGUGUUAAAUGGGAGGAAGGAGUGGGCGACGGUAGGUCAGUAUGGUCCGAAAUCCAUGGGCUACACGCGGCAUACAAUGGCUGGAACAAUGGGCUGCAACUUCGAAAGAAGACGCUAAUCCCCGAAAUCCAGUCGAAGUUCGAAUUGAGGGCUGCAACUCGCCCUCAUGAAGCUGGAAUGGCUAGUAAUCGCGAGUCAACAUCUCGCGGUGAAUGUGUCCCUGCUCCUUGCACACACCGCCUGUCAAGUCAUCCAAAUGUGUUUUCGGUGAGGCCCCGGUUAAUUGCCGGGUUCGAACCGGAGAUACGUGAGGAGGGCUAAGUCAUAACAAGGUA